AUGCUCUCAAGGAUCUCUCAGCUCGGGGCGCGGCUCCUGCGCGAGACCAGAGCUGCAGGAAACUUGUCAAGCAAUAGCAGCAAUUACUACCGAGGUCAAGUCAGCCGGCAUUCAACCCCAGCGAAGAGCAUCCUCUUCUCCACCGCAACAAGUAGUCAUCAUGAUGAAGGCGGUGAGGACAAGGAGAAAAUCUCUGUAACAUUUGUCAACAAGGAUGGUACUGAGAAGACAAUAAGUGUUCCUGUCGGAAUGUCCAUGUUAGAAGCUGCUCACGAAAAUGACAUAGAACUUGAAGGAGCAUGUGAAGGGUCGCUCGCGUGUUCCACUUGUCAUGUCAUAGUUAUGGAUGUAAAGUACUAUAACAAGCUAGAGGAUCCAACAGAUGAAGAAAAUGAUAUGCUUGACCUUGCAUUUGGGCUCACAGAAACGUCUCGUCUUGGCUGCCAAGUAAUAGCGCAGCCCGAACUUGACGGUGUCCGAUUGGCGUUACCCGCAGCUACACGGAACUUUGCGGUAGAUGGCUUUGUGCCAAAACCACACUAG
rnacentral:rRNA from 1 species